CCCUUAGACGUUCUGGGCCGCACGCGCGCUACACUGACCAGUGCAACAAGCAUCCGUCCUUGGCCGACAGGCUCGGGCAAUCUUUGAGCGCUGGUCGUGAUGGGGAUAGACUUUUGCAAUUUUUGGUCUUCAACGAGGAAUUCCUAGUAAACGCAAGUCAUCAACUUGCAUUGAUUACGUCCCUGCCCUUUGUACACACCGCCCGUCGCACCUACCGAUUGGAUGGUCCGGUGAAGCCUCGGGAUUGUGGCGGUUGCCUUUAUUGGUGGCCGCCGCGAGAACUUGUCUAAACCUUNUNAUCUAUNGGAAGGUGAANUCGUANCA
rnacentral:rRNA from 1 species